rnacentral:rRNA from 1 species
GGAUAACCUACCCUUAGGACCGGGAUAACCUUGGGAAACUGAGGAUAAUACCGGAUAGGCAAUUAUUCCUGGAAUGGUUUUUUGUUUAAAUGUUUUUUCGCCUAAGGAUGGGUCUGCGGCCGAUUAGGUAGUUGGUUAGGUAACGGCUUACCAAGCCAUUGAUCGGUACGGGUUGUGAGAGCAAGAGCCCGGAGAUGGAACCUGAGACAAGGUUCCAGGCCCUACGGGGUGCAGCAGGCGCGAAACCUCCGCAAUGUGAGAAAUCGCGACGGGGGGAUUCCAAGUGCCAUUCUUAACGGGAUGGCUUUUCAUUAGUGUAAAGAGCUUUUGGAAUAAGGGCUGGGCAAGACCGGUGCCAGCCGCCGCGGUAACACCGGCAGCUCUAGUGGUAGCAGUUUUUAUUGGGCCUAAAGCGUCCGUAGCCGGUUUAAUAAGUCUCUGGUGAAAUCCUGUAGCUUAACUGUGGGAAUUGCUGGAGAUACUAUUAGACUUGAGACCGGGAGAGGUUAGAGGUACUCCCAGGGUAGAGGUGAAAUUCUGUAAUCCUGGGAGGACCGCCUGUUGCGAAGGCGUCUAACUGGAACGGUUCUGACGGUGAGGGACGAAAGUUAGGGGCGCGAACCGGAUUAGAUACCCGGGUAGUCCUAACCGUAAACGAUGCGGACUUGGUGUU